CAUCACCGCUGGACAAAGCAGCAAGGAGUGGUUUCUUCCAAGAGAAGCCCCCAAAUCAAUGAAGCAACACAACAGGAAAAAAAUCCCUGUAAUUUUAUCUGCCGGUUAAAUCAAAGUGCGUGGGCUGCGUUUCUAGCGGUGCUUUGUUGUGAGAGGAAUGAACUGCUCUGGAAAAUAACAUCGUUUGGACAGAGGAGAGAGCCACCACCGCUGGACGUGCUGUGUCUGAAGACGUGGACCCGCUGUUUGAAUCCAUCCUGAAGCAUCAUGCUAGCCCUCCUGCUGCUUGCAAUGCUGGCCGUCCACGCAGUGGCUAAGCUGGAACUGCAAGUCCCAGACCUCCCAGUGGUGGUGCUGCAUGGAAAAGACGUCGCCCUCAACUGCUCCUUCAGCCACACGAGUCCCUUCAACCUGUCCGACGUAACUGUGUUCUGGCAGCUGACUGACACCAAGCGCAGCGUCCAUGGGUUCUUCAUGGGGCAGGACCAGCUGACGGAGCAGGCAGAGAGCUACGCCAACCGAACCAGCCUCUUCCCUUCCCAGCUGACCAUGGGCAACGCUUCCCUCCUACUACGAAGGGUGGCGGUUGCUGACGAGGGCAGCUAUACCUGCUUUGUCAGAGUGCAAGAGUACGACAGCGCUGCCUUGCUGCUUCAGGUCGCAGCUCCUUACACCAAGCCUGAGGUCACAUUGGAGCCUGAAUUCAACCUGCGGCCUGGGGACGAGGUGGCCCUGACCUGUGUGGCCUAUGGCGGGUAUCCCAAGGCCGAUGUCAUAUGGCAGGACGGGAGUGGACGCAACCUGACGGACAACAUCACAACUUCAGUGGUGGCUAAUGAACAAGGGCUGUUCACCAUGACCAGUGUGCUGACCGUCGUGCUGGAGCCCAACAGCUCCUUCAGCUGCAGACUGAUCAACCCGCUGCUUAGUGAAGAACGCUCCAUCUUUGUCACAGUCACAGGUCAGAACAUUGCUUUCCCUCCGGUGGCUCUGUGGGUUACUGUGGGCCUGGCCGUGUGUCUGCUGGGCCUGCUCAUCGCUCUGGCUGCUGUCUGCCGAAGGAAGAUCAAGGAAAGCUGUGAGGAGGCCAGGAGAGAAGCCGAGGAGGCCAAGGAGCUGGAAGAAGAGGAAUCGAAGACAGCGAUGACGCCACUGAAGAGCUAAGAACGACAGAGUGAAGCGUCUUGUACACUCUGUGUGAAUUCUUUGAAGGACACAGUGUCUCACACACACACUGGAGGUUAUUGAAGUCGUGGCCAGACAGUCGGGGUGGGAGAAGGAGGAGAUGAGUCUGGCGGGUAAUCCCAGUCCACCUAUCCAUCAACCUGGAGACUGUUUCCAGCAUCCCCUGCAGAAUGUCAAAGCCUCGCUGAGCAGAAGAUGAGUCCAUCAUCUCCUUUCUUAGGCUUUCCCUCGAGUUCCCAUCCAAACACAUAAACACAUCAUGUGCCAUUAGUUUCUAUUGCCUUCUUUUCAUUCUCUCGACGGAGACGUGCAACGGCGGGUAAACGCAGUUGAAUGAGUCGUGUUGCCUGCGACACGAAGAGCGGCGGGCGCUUUUGAAAACGACAGGAUGUGACAGGAUCCUUUGUCUGUCACUGACAUCACUCUGCAUGCGUCGCGAUGGGGCGUGUGCCAGAGAUCUGCUGUCUAAUAGGAAGUGAGACACUUAAAGAGAUGACCCUGCUUCAGUUGCCAGAGAGAGAGAGAGAGAGAGAGAGCCCAGCUCUCCUAUUACACCGCAACUUGCUAAUUAGCGUCUGUCGCUGGAGUAACUUGUACCUGUCAGUGUGCGCCGCUCUCCUAUAUUCAGUAAGUCGAGGCAAUUGAAAGUGAACGCCAGCGAAGCUCCAACAAACUGCAAAUGGCGGAUGUGAAACACUCUGAUCCUUCUCCCUGACCCGACAGCUUUUACGUGUAAGAAAUUGUUUUUAAUGAAGAAAGACAAUCUCGGCUAGUUUCUACAGCUGACGCCGAAUGUUUUAUCUCUUCUGGCCUGCGGGGGUGUACAUUUUGUUUUAUUGCAUCUUUUUGAAGUACUUAAGCGAGUCCCAGUGCCAUAUGCCUCUGUAUGAAUACCAAAGCCAUUUGUUUGAAAUAAUGAAAAAAAAAAAAAAACUAGUGCCUAUUUACAUUAAAGAGACAUGGUGAAACUGUCA